UUAGAGUUUGAUCCUGGCUCAGGACGAACGCUGGCGGCGUGCCUAAUACAUGCAAGUCGAGCGAGCUUGCCUAGAUGAUUUUAGUGCUUGCACUAAAUGAAACUAGAUACAAGCGAGCGGCGGACGGGUGAGUAACACGUGGGUAACCUGCCCAAGAGACUGGGAUAACACCUGAAACAGAUGCUAAUACCGGAUAACAACACUAGACGCAUGUCUAGAGUUUGAAAGAUGGUUCUGCUAUCACUCUUGGAUGGACCUGCGGUGCAUUAGCUAGUUGGUAAGGUAACGGCUUACCAAGGCAAUGAUGCAUAGCCGAGUUGAGAGACUGAUCGGCCACAUUGGGACUGAGACACGGCCCAAACUCCUACGGGAGGCAGCAGUAGGGAAUCUUCCACAAUGGACGAAAGUCUGAUGGAGCAACGCCGCGUGAGUGAAGAAGGGUUUCGGCUCGUAAAGCUCUGUUGUUGGUGAAGAAGGAUAGAGGUAGUAACUGGCCCCUAUUUGACGGUAAUCAACCAGAAAGUCACGGCUAACUGCGUGCCAGCAGCCGCGGUAAUACGUAGGUGGCAAGCGUUGUCCGGAUUUAUUGGGCGUAAAGCGAGCGCAGGCGGAAAGAUAAGUCUGAUGUGAAAGCCCCCGGCUUAACCGAGGAAUUGCAUCGGAAACUGUGUUUCUUGAGUGCAGAAGAGGAGAGUGGAACUCCAUGUGUAGCGGUGGAAUGCGUAGAUAUAUGGAAGAACACCAGUGGCGAAGGCGGCUCUCUGGUCUGUAACUGACGCUGAGGCUCGAAAGCAUGGGUAGCGAACAGGAUUAGAUACCCUGGUAGUCCAUGCCGUAAACGAUGAGUGCUAAGUGUUGGGAGGUUUCCGCCUCUCAGUGCUGCAGCUAACGCAUUAAGCACUCCGCCUGGGGAGUACGACCGCAAGGUUGAAACUCAAAGGAAUUGACGGGGGCCCGCACAAGCGGAGGAACAUGUGGUUUAAUUCGAUGAUACGCGAGGAACCUUACCCGGGCUCAAACGGGGAGUGACUCAGGCAGAGACGCCUGUUUCCCACGGGACACUCCCCGAGGUGCUGCAUGGUUGUCGUCAGCUCGUGCCGUGAGGUGUCGGCUUAAGUGCCAUAACGAGCGCAACCCCCGCGUGCAGUUGCUAACAGAUAACGCUGAGGACUCUGCACGGACUGCCGGCGCAAGCCGCGAGGAAGGCGGGGAUGACGUCAAAUCAGCACGGCCCUUACGUCCGGGGCGACACACGUGUUACAAUGGGUGGUACAGCGGGAAGCCAGGCGGCGACGCCGAGCGGAACCCGAAAUCCACUCUCAGUUCGGAUCGGAGUCUGCAACCCGACUCCACGAAGUUGGAUUCGCUAGUAAUCGCGCAUCAGCCAUGGCGCGGUGAAUACGUUCCCGGGCCUUGCACACACCGCCCGUCA
rnacentral:rRNA from 1 species